rnacentral:rRNA from 1 species
GUGCCAGCCGCUGCGGUAAUACAGAGGGUGCGAGCGUUAAUCGGAUUUACUGGGCGUAAAGCGUGCGUAGGCGGCUAAUUAAGUCGGAUGUGAAAUCCCCGAGCUCAACUUGGGAAUUGCAUUCGAUACUGGAUAGCUAGAGUAUUGGAGAGGAUGGUAGAAUUCCAGGUGUAGCGGUGAAAUGCGUAGAGAUCUGGAGGAAUACCGAUGGCGAAGGCAGCCAUCUGGCCAAAUACUGACGCUGAGGUACGAAAGCAUGGGGAGCAAACAGGAUUAGAUACCCUGGUAGUCCAUGCCGUAAACGAUGUCUACUAGCCGUUGGUCUCUUUGAGGGAUUAGUGGCGCAGCUAACGCGAUAAGUAGACCGCCUGGGGAGUACGGUCGCAAGACUAAAACUCAAAUGAAUUGACGGGGCCCGCACAAGCGGUGGAGCAUGUGGUUUAAUUCGAUGCAACGCGAAGAACCUUACCUGGUCUUGACAUAGUGAG